rnacentral:rRNA from 1 species
UACGAAGGGGGCUAGCGUUGUUCGGAAUUACUGGGCGUAAAGCGCGCGCAGGCGGUUCUUCAAGUCAGUGGUGAAAGCCCGGAGCUCAACUCCGGAACUGCCAUUGAAACUGUAGAACUUGAGGACGAGAGAGGUGAGUGGAAUUCCCAGUGUAGAGGUGAAAUUCGUAGAUAUUGGGAAGAACACCGGUGGCGAAGGCGGCUCACUGGCUCGUUUCUGACGCUCAGGCGCGACAGCGUGGGGAUCAAACAGG